GCUGCAGAUCCAGAUGAUCCACUGAAGACUACUGAUCAGACCAGGCAUCUUGGCUUAAUCGUGUGUAGGGGAACUGUCGUGAUGCUUGUAUCACCUACUGAUGGAACUGAUGAGAUUGCGAAUCCUUUCAUCCAGCCAGAUGGGGCUUAAAUCUCUGGACUUAUUAUGUAGCUGCCUUCUUAACAUUUGGUUUUUUCUCAUUUAAGAUAUUCUAGAGUUUGAAUUUAGUUUCUGUUUUGUCUACUUGAAUGUCAUUGUCUAUUAAUGUGAAAUAGUAGCAAAUGCCAUAUUACAUUCUGUGAUUUCUUUGAACUGAUCAGGUGUUUUGGUGCCCCUGCGAAGUGAAUAUGAUUUAAAUAGGCGGUCUUUCUAAUUGUAAUCACUUGCAGGUUAUCCAUGGUAUGAUUAUACAACAUUUACUGAAAUUGCAAAACUGCUAGUUCCAAUCAA